ACUCCUACGGGAGGCAGCAGUAGGGAAUCUUCCACAAUGGACGCAAGUCUGAUGGAGCAACGCCGCGUGAGUGAAGAAGGCUUUCGGGUCGUAAAACUCUGUUGUUGGAGAAGAAUGGUCGGCAGAGUAACUGUUGUCGGCGUGACGGUAUCCAACCAGAAAGCCACGGCUAACUACGUGCCAGCAGCCGCGGUAA
rnacentral:rRNA from 1 species